CAGGAUGGUCUCGAUCUCCUGACCUCAUGAUCUGCCCGCCUCGGCCUCCCAAAGUGCUGGGAUUACAGACGUGAGCCACCGCUCCUUGUGGAAUAAAGCAUCAGUUUUGAUACGCCAAAGCUAUCUUUGAAUCCUGUCCUCACUUCUUAACAGCACUGUGACAUGGGAAAAGUAGAGGGUGGAUUUCUGCAAGCAAUGUGCAAAGAAACUUGAAACAACAACAAGAUAACCCAGGACAGCCCUUACCUCACAGUGGGGAGGAGUGAGCAACAAAGACAACAACAACAAAAAACAGCUCAUCAUCUUGUUAUUAAUUGCAACUCUGGUGCCUUGGAUAUGCCUGAUUGAAGACAAGGGACUUGAAGGCCAGCCUAUAAACAUGCUAUAUUCUCAUGGAAAACCCAAUACUUUAAUGGCUGUAUUUUUGUGGUUUAUUAUUUUAUUGAUCUCAAAGGAAAACCUGCAGCAAAAAAAGUUGGUGCAUUUUCUUCUAUUAUGGAAAAUUUCUCCAGUUGCAGAAAUAAAGUCCCAACCUCCCCAGUCACCCGGUUUCAGAUUGUACACAUUGAUUCCUUAACAAAAAAGCACCAUUAUAUGGUACAAUAAAAGUGAAUUUUUAAAGAUUU
rnacentral:lncRNA from 10 species